rnacentral:rRNA from 1 species
GACGAACGCUGGCGGCGUGCUUAACACAUGCAAGUCGAACGGAAAGGCCCUUCGGGGUGCUCGAGUGGCGAACGGGUGAGUAACACGUGGGUGAUCUGCCCUGCACUUUGGGAUAAGCCUGGGAAACUGGGUCUAAUACCGGAUAGGACUACGGCCUGCAUGGGUUGUGGUGGAAAGCUUUUGCGGUGUGGGAUGGGCCCGCGGCCUAUCAGCUUGUUGGUGGGGUGAUGGCCUACCAAGGCGACGACGGGUAGCCGGCCUGAGAGGGUGGCCGGCCACACUGGGACUGAGAUACGGCCCAGACUCCUACGGGAGGCAGCAGUGGGGAAUAUUGCACAAUGGGCGCAAGCCUGAUGCAGCGACGCCGCGUGAGGGAUGACGGCCUUCGGGUUGUAAACCUCUUUCAGUAGGGACGAAGCGCGAGUGACGGUACCUACAGAAGAAGCACCGGCCAACUACGUGCCAGCCGCCGCAGUAACAC